UAGGUCUGCGGCUGAUUAGGUCGUUGGUGGGGUAAUGGCCCACCAAGCCGAUGAUCGGUACGGGUUGUGAGAGCAAGGGCCCGGAGAUGGAACCUGAGACAAGGUUCCAGACCCUACGGGGUGCAGCAGGCGCGAAACCUCCGCAAUGUACGAAAGUGCGACGGGGGGAUCCCAAGUGUUAUGCUUUUUUGUAUGACUUUUCAUUAGUGUAAAAAGCUUUUAGAAUAAGAGCUGGGCAAGACCGGUGCCAGCCGCCGCGGUAACACCGGCAGCUCGAGUGGUAGCUGUUUUUAUUGGGCCUAAAGCGUUCGUAGCCGGUUUGAUAAGUCUUUGGUGAAAGCUUGUAGCUUAACUAUAAGAAUUGCUGGAGAUACUAUUAGACUU
rnacentral:rRNA from 1 species